AUUGAACGCUGGCGGCAGGCCUAACACAUGCAAGUCGAACGAGUGGCGGACGGGUGAGUAAUGUCUGGGAAACUGCCUGAUGGAGGGGGAUAACUACUGCAAACGGUAGCUAAUACCGCAUACCAUCAGAUGUGCCCAGAGGGGAUGAGCUUGUUGGUGGGGUAACGGCUCACCAAGGCGACGAUCCCUAGCGGGUCUGAGAGGAGGACCAGCCACACGGGAACUGGGAAAUGGGCCAGACUCUGACGGGAGGCAGCAGUGGGGAAUAUUGGACAAUGGGCGAAAUCCUGAUGCAGCAAUGCCGCGUGUAUGAAGAAGGCCUUCGGGUUGUAAAGUACUUUCAUCGGGGAGGCGUUACCCGCAGAGGAAGCACCGGCUAACUCCGUGCCAGCCGCCGCGGUAAUAC
rnacentral:rRNA from 1 species